rnacentral:rRNA from 1 species
UGAGCCUGGCUCAAAUUGAACGCUGGCGGAAUGCUUUCCCUUUGAAAGUCGAACGGCAGCACGGGGGCAACCCUGGGGGCGAGGGGCGAACGGGUGAGUAAUACAUCGGAACGUGCCCAGUCGGGGGGGAUAACGUAGCGAAAGUUACGCUAAUACCGCAUACAAUCUACGGAUGAAAGCGGGGGAUCGCAAGACCUCGCGCGAUUGGAGCGGCCGAUGUCAAAUUAGGUUGUUGGGGGGGUAAAGGCCUACCAAGCCGACAAUCUGUAGCUGGUCUGAGAGGACAACCAGCCACACUGGGACUGAGACACGGCCCAAACUCCUACGGGAGGCAGCAGGGGGGAAUUUUGGACAAUGGGCGCAAGCCUGAUCCAGCCAUUCCGCGUGCAGGACGAAGGCCUUCGGGUUGUAAACUGCUUUUGUACGGAACGAAAAAGCCUCGGUUAAUACCCGGGGUCCAUGACGGUACCGUAAGAAUAAGCACCGGCUAACUACGUG